rnacentral:rRNA from 1 species
UACAGAGGGGGCAAGCGUUAUUCGGAAUUAUUGGGCGUAAAGAGCGUGUAGGCGGCCAGACAGGUCCGUUGUGAAAACUAGAGGCUUAACCUCUAGACGUCGAUGGAAACCGUCUGGCUAGAGUCCGGAAGAGGAGAAUGGAAUUCCUGGUGUAGCGGUGAAAUGCGUAGAUAUGUGGAGGAAUACCGAUGGCGAAGGCAGCCCCCUGGGAUAACACUGACGCUCAUGCACGAAAGCGUGGGGAGCAAACAGG